CCGCCGUCCAGGUAGAUCUCGAUGCGGCCCUGCACCGUGUCCACGAUCUCAGAUAGGGCGUCUAUCUGUCGAUGACAACAGAGACACUUGAUGGCGCAAUUUAUGAUGCGAAACCAGGCCGGGCCGCCAUCCAGCUGUCUCCCGCCGUGGUUGGACACGAUGAUGCCCUGGACGCCGUGUUCCACCGCCAGCUCGGCAUCCUCCUUGGUCAGGAUGCCCUUGAUGAUGAUUGGCAGCCGUGUGAUGGACUGCAGCCAGUAGAUGUCCUUCCAGCUAAUAGACGGGUCCAAAGUGUUGGCCGGGAUCCCGUACUCCUCCGGGCCCGCCGUCUCCUGAUGGGUGUGGGUUCUGUUUUUAGUCCAACAUUUGUCAAAUGGACUUUUUUGGGUGCUGUUGUUUGUUGUGGCGUGAUGUGCAUGCGCAUUUAUCCUUAUUAGACGCAGUAAUAGGCCUUAGCCUAGACUGGCUAAUUUGUGCUAGCUUCAAUGUUAGCAUUUCUUGUGUUCCUUGUUAGCCUGUGCCAAAAUAAUUGGCAAAUAUUUUGUUGUUUGUAUGUUUGUUUUACUUCAAUUACCAAUGUGAGAUUUUCUUUGUGUUGCUGAGAAAACAUGGCCCAAACGUACAUUUACCUGAAAGACACCGUCAAAGUUCUUGACCUUGAGAUGCGGCGGCAGCUUGAACUGGUUGCGGAUGUCGUUGCGCCGCUUGCCCGUGUAGGGCACGUCGACGGUCAGCACCAGGGCCUUGAAGCCCAGCGCCUCCACUCGGUGCACGAUCUGCUCCGACAGCUUGCGGUCGCGGUACACGUAGAGCUGGAACCAGCGGUAGCCGUUGGGCGCCGCCGCCACGAUCUCCUCCACCGAGCAAGUGGAGUACGUGCUGGUGAUGUAACACGUGUUUAGCACCUCGGUGGCUGUGUAACGAGAGAGGGGGGAGCAAAAAAACAAUGUUUAUUACUCUUUAGACCAAACUAGCUCCUACUAAUCAACCCUAAUUAGGCUCUCAAGUGUUUAUGUAUUGCUACCAAACAAGCAAAAAGCAUUCAAAACCAAGGCCACUUGACAAAGGAAGUAAAUGCAAUAAAAUGCUGCCAUCUAGCGGUGGGAAUCGAAAGUCCAUAGGGAUAUUCCUAUCAUGCAAGGCCACAGUCGUGUUGCGCAACAACCCACCUCUUGCUGUGGCCAUCUCACCCUCGUGCCACGCCAGACAAUGGAAGGCGGUUGGGGCGAUGCCCACCGGGAAGCUGAUCUCCAUACCCUGCACUGUAGUCUUGGUGUCACUCACAGACACGUCGCGUAGGAUGCGAGGUCUCAGGCGGAUCCUGGACAUCAAGGGAGAACGUGAAGAAGAAAGCCACCCGACAGAUGUAGCUCAAGGACUUGGUACCGCUUGUAGGCCAGCAGGUUGUCGUCUCGGGUGCAGCACUCGUCGGCUCCGGCGGCAUAGUAGUCCCACGUGGCCUUGGACAGGUGCUCCUUGGCAUAUUCCUCAAAGUCUGUCAGGCAUACCAUGGCCAUCUCGGCACACUGACCCCCCUCUCUGUGGGACAUUAGCAACCGCCCCCUCUCCGUGACAUUGUACGAUGAGAGACGAUUUUAAAAAGUUCUUCACUCACCGGUUGCAAAUGCUCAUUCUCUCUUUCGGCACACCUUCAACCCGCCUGACAGGGUCAUAACCUGUCAACAAGAGACAAAAAAAAA